rnacentral:rRNA from 1 species
GCUAAACGCGAAGAACCUUACCAAGGCUUGACAUCCCCUUGACAGGUGCAGAGAUGUACCCUCUCCUUCGGGAGCAAGGGUGACAGGUGGUGCAUGGUUGUCGUCAGCUCGUGUCGUGAGAUGUUGGGUUAAGUCCCGCAACGAGCGCAACCCUUAUCCUUAGUUGCCAGCAGGUGAAGCUGGGCACUCUAGGGAGACUGCCGAUGAUAAAUCGGAGGAAGGUGGGGAUGACGUCAAAUCAUCAUGCCCCUUAUGUCUUGGGCUACACACGUGCUACAAUGGUCGGUACAAAGGGGAGCGAAGGAGUGAUCUGGAGCAAAUCCCAAUAAACCGAUCCCAGUUCGGAUUGCAGGCUGCAACUCGCCUACAUGAAGUCGGAGUUGCUAGUAAUCGCGAAUCAGAACGUCGCGGUGAAUGCGUUCCCGGGUCUUGUACACACCG